GAGAGAUAUUUGCUAAUUACACCUUCAGCUUAAGGUAAUGUUUCUUGAUGUACAUACAACAUAAAAAAUUCACCAUGUAUAGGUUGUUAGGUUUUUCGGAUUGAAAUUCAUUAUGUAUUGAAGUUCAUAUUGUCUUAAAGAUAAAUUCAGCACUGAUUGUCGGCAUGCUGUUCAUGGCACUGAUUGUCGAUGCAGAAAGGUUCUCACAGUCACAGUAUGUUGGAUUAGUUGUAACCUAUCCUUAGAUUUUCAAGAAAAAUCCCGACAUUACUAAUCAGCUGGGCAUGCACAUGAUAGAUUUGACGAUUUUUUGCAUUGUAAAUGGUCCCUUGACUUGCUCUUUACAGGUAUGUACAUGUGGCGAUGCUCCUUAGAUUGAGAAUAUGAUGCAGGUUUUUGGGGAUGACAAAAAUGACAGAGGAGAGUGCCCUAAUUCCUUCCUGCUUUGUGCCAUUUUUUUCAGGGUAAGAAUAGUAUGCACGUUCUUCCAAGAAUUGAAGCACGUUGGGAAGGCGUACAUCAAUUGAGAUGAUUGAGCAGUUCCAGCUUCAAAUCAGGUGACAUGAAUUACACCACAACUCAUUGGCUUGCCAUGUAAGGAUGACAACUUUGUGAUGAGCGAAAUUGGAUGUAGUCAGUAGGGUGGGAGGCGAGAUGAGGCAAACCUCUUCCAGUCUUUUUGGUUAUCUAAUUGGUUAACUUGUUUAUAAUUGUAAUAAUUUGUUUACCGAGUUCAGCAAAGUCAUCCUGGAUGGGGCAUUGUACAUGGUGCUUGUCAGUUUUCUGAAUUACAAUUGUCUAAUGUAUGGAUUCCCUUUUGUUCAUACAUCUAAUUCUACAGAUAUUUAAA